GACGAACGCUGGCGGCGUGCUUAACACAUGCGAGUCGAACGGAAAGGCCUCUUUCGGGGGGUACUCGAGUGGCGAACGGGUGAGUAACACGUGAGUAACCUGCCCUUGACUUUGGGAUAACUUCAGGAAACUGGGGCUAAUACCGGAUAGGAGCUCCUGCUGCAUGGUGGGGGUUGGAAAGUUUCGGCGGUUGGGGAUGGACUCGCGGCUUAUCAGCUUGUUGGUGGGGUAGUGGCUUACCAAGGCUUUGACGGGUAGCCGGCCUGAGAGGGUGACCGGCCACAUUGGGACUGAGAUACGGCCCAGACUCCGACGGGAGGCAGCAGUGGGGAAUAUUGCACAAUGGGUGGAAGCCUGAUGCAGCAACGCCGUGUGCGGGAUGACGGCCUUCGGGUUGUAAACCGCUUUCGCUCAUGACGAAGCUUUGUGUGACGGUAGUGGGUAAAGAAGCACCGGCUAACUACGUG
rnacentral:rRNA from 1 species